rnacentral:rRNA from 1 species
UUUUGGUGAGGUGCCUUCCGAGUUCCCUGGAACGGGACGCCAUAGAGGGUGAGAGCCCCGUCUGGUUGGACACCGAUCCUCUGUAAAGCUCCUUCGACGAGUCGAGUAGUUUGGGAAUGCUGCUCUAAAUGGGAGGUAUAUGUCUUCUAAAGCUAAAUACCGGCCAGAGACCGAUAGCGCACAAGUAGAGUGAUCGAAAGAUGAAAAGAACUUUGAAAAGAGAGUUAAAAAGUACGUGAAAUUGUUGAAAGGGAAGCGCUUGUGACCAGACUUGGGCUUGGUUGAUCAUCCGGGGUUCUCCCCGGUGCACUCUUCCGGCUCAGGCCAGCAUCAGUUCGCCCUGGGGGAUAAAGGCUUCGGGAAUGUGGCUCUCUCCGGGGAGUGUUAUAGCCCGCUGCGUAAUACCCUGUGGCGGACUGAGG